GAUGAACGCUGGCGGCGUGCCUAAUACAUGCAAGUCGAGCGAACGGUCGAGAAGCUUGCUUCUCUGAUGUUAGCGGCGGACGGGUGAGUAACACGUGGAUAACCUACCUAUAAGACUGGGAUAACCUCGGGAAACCGGAGCUAAUACCGGAUAAUAUUUUGAACCGCAUGGUUCAAAAGUGAAAGACGGUCUUGCUGUCACUUAUAGAUGGAUCCGCGCUGCAUUAGCUAGUUGGUAAGGUAACGGCUUACCAAGGCAACGAUGCAUAGCCGACCUGAGAGGGUGAUCGGCCACACUGGAACUGAGACACGGUCCAGACUCCUACGGGAGGCAGCAGUAGGGAAUCUUCCGCAAUGGGCGAAAGCCUGACGGAGCAACGCCGCGUGAGUGAUGAAGGUCUUCGGAUCGUAAAACUCUGUUAUUAGGGAAGAACAUAUGUGUAAGUAACUGUGCACAUCUUGACGGUACCUAAUCAGAAAGCCACGGCUAACUACGUG
rnacentral:rRNA from 1 species